UACGAAGGGGGCUAGCGUUGUUCGGAAUCACUGGGCGUAAAGCGCACGUAGGCGGACUCUUAAGUCAGGGGUGAAAUCCUGGAGCUCAACUCCAGAACUGCCUUUGAUACUGGGAGUCUUGAGUUCGGGAGAGGUGAGUGGAACUGCGAGUGUAGAGGUGAAAUUCGUAGAUAUUCGCAAGAACACCGAUGGCGAAGGCAGCCAUCUGGACCGACACUGACGCUGAGGCGCGAAAGCGUGGGGAGCAAACAGGG
rnacentral:rRNA from 1 species